rnacentral:rRNA from 1 species
UACGUAGGGUCCGAGCGUUGUCCGGAGUUACUGGGCGUAAAGGGCGCGCAGGCGGCGGUGCUGGCCCGGCGUGAAAGCCCCCGGCUCAACCGGGGAGGGUCGUCGGGGACCGCACCGCUUGAGGGCGGUAGGGGCCGGUGGAAUGCCUGGUGUAGUGGUGAAAUGCGUAGAGAUCAGGCAGAACACCUGGGGCGAAGGCGGCCGGCUGGGCCGUCCCUGACGCUGAGGCGCGAAAGCUAGGGGAGCGAACGGG